rnacentral:rRNA from 1 species
UGAUAGUGCAGCCAUAAGUGGGUGGUAAACUCCAUCUAAGGCUAAAUAUGACCACGAGACCGAUAGCGAACAAGUACCGUGAGGGAAAGUUGAAAAGCACUUUGAAGAGAGAGUUCAAGAGUACGUGAAACCGUUUAGGGGUAAACCUGAGAAACCCGAAAGGUCGAAGGGAGAAAUUCAUUCGCGUUUCGCAGUCGGCGUGAGGCGAUCGAGUGACGGAAUGCGUCUUCGGAUGUUUUCUGCACCUUUUGUUUUUCGAUCCGAUAGCGAACGCGUGCACUUUUCUCCUGGUAGGACGUCGCGAUCCGUUGGGUGUCGGUCUACGGCUCACGGUGGAGACCGGAUGUACGGCUUGCCGUCACGUCCGGACCCGUGUGUCCCGGCUGACUCGCUCGACGGUAUACGAAAGGUUU